UUGGGGGCUUGGGCAGGGCGCGGGCGGGCCCACUGCCCCUCGGCGCGCUGCGGGGCCCUGGGCAGACAACAGCCCUUUGUGUGUAGCGGGGGGGUACGUCGUUACCUGGAGUGGCGUUGCUGGUGCCCUGCUAAGCGAAACUCCAUGCUAUGCGCUUGUGCUUUGCUGCCUGCAGCUGCGUUCCAGGCCCGCGAUCUGUACCAGGACUCUAGAAGAGCCGCCAAAGCAGCUGAAGGUAAAUGAGAAGACUGCAAGCAGGUUUCAGCAGUGAGAAAUAAGGACCCGUCAUGUUUUCUGCUGUCGAAUUAACAACUCGGAGCAAAGAAUUCUGUCCGCUGGUGCUUCAUUGUUUGGGUGCUUUCUGUAGGAACUGUAUUUGCAAACAAAGGAAAAAGACAAGACUAAAAGGAUAAAGAGAGUGAAGACGAGUUCCGCAGCAGCUG
rnacentral:lncRNA from 1 species